rnacentral:rRNA from 1 species
UACGUAGGUGGCAAGCGUUGUCCGGAUUUACUGGGCGUAAAGAGCGCGCAGGCGGUCGUUCAAGUCGCGUGUGAAAGCCCCCGGCUCAACUGGGGAGGGUCACGCGAUACUGAUCGACUGGAAGGCAGGAGAGGGUAGUGGAAUUCCCGGUGUAGUGGUGAAAUGCGUAGAUAUCGGGAGGAACACCAGUGGCGAAGGCGGGUCUCUGGGACGGUACUGACGCUGAGACGCGAAAGCGUGGGGAGCGAACAGG